rnacentral:rRNA from 1 species
AUGGCUGCUUCAAGCUCCUCCAAGGACAAGUUCUUCAAGAUCGUCAUCAACCCAUAUCUGCGGGAGGUGGUGCAGCACCCUCAGGUCAUUGAGAUGCAUGAGGGGGUGCUUCACCUUCGCGAUGUUCCCUGUCCCAAGGGGACGGGAACCAUGGAUGCUAGGCUCGAAGCUAUGGAGCAAGAUGUCUUCCGGUGCAAGGGGAUGGUGGAGCGUGGACUCCAUGCCAAUCACCUCAUGAUCACGGACCUCUCCCGUGAUCUCAAGGUGGAUGGCAAGCCCAUGAAGGACAUCAUCUUCACCCUCAACCAAGUCUUUGAAUAUGAGGCGAGGUUUAAAGGUGUGAGUUUGGCUGCUAGUUGCAGGACCCGUGAGACUCACUCCUCCUCUUAUGAUGGUGGACCACUACCAUGGAAAUCCGAGGACAAGAUCUCUUCUUCUUCACCACCUCCAUCUUCCUCACCACCAAAGAAGAACUGA